ACGAGCAAGCGAGCGGGUCUCGGAGAACUUCUGAGGAAACUCCUCUGUCCAUGCGGAAAAAUCACGGCGUCGAGAGGCGCAAUCAGAGAUGGUUGGCUACAAAACAGAAACGAUAUCCAAUCCAGAUCACACGAUGAGGCAGUGAUGCUGAGAUUCCUGGUGAGGAAUGAAACGGUUGUCCCGUGCGGACAAAGGCCAAACAGGGGACGAUGAUUUCCGCGAGAGUCCCAGGUAGGCCGCAUAGCUGAAUCCCGCCUAAAACAGAAAGAGGGUUACGGCUUGCACGU
rnacentral:RNase_P_RNA from 1 species